GACGAACGCUGGCGGCGUGCUUAACACAUGCAAGUCGAACGGAAAGGCCCUGCUUUUGUGGGGUGCUCGAGUGGCGAACGGGUGAGUAACACGUGAGUAACCUGCCCUUGACUUUGGGAUAACUUCAGGAAACUGGGGCUAAUACCGGAUAGGAGCUCCUGCUGCAUGGUGGGGGUUGGAAAGUUUCGGCGGUUGGGGAUGGACUCGCGGCUUAUCAGCUUGUUGGUGGGGUAGUGGCUUACCAAGGCUUUGACGGGUAGGCGGCCUGAGAGGGUGGCCGGCAUCCUGGGGACUACGGGAGGCCCCAGUCGCCAACGGGGGACAGGGGGGGGAAGUCUGGCCCAGUGGGACGGCGCGGGUGGCGGAGGCCCCGGGUGCGGAAUGCCGGCUUGUGGGUUAAGAACAGCUUCCGCUUGAGACGAAGCGGGAGUGACGGUAAUGGAAAAAGAAGCCCCGGCUAACUCCGUG
rnacentral:rRNA from 1 species